rnacentral:rRNA from 1 species
GACGAACGCUGGCGGCGUGCUUAACACAUGCAAGUCGAACGGAAAGGCCCUGCUUUUGUGGGGUGCUCGAGUGGCGAACGGGUGAGUAACACGUGAGUAACCUGCCCUUUACUUUGGGAUAACUUCAGGAAACUGGGGCUAAUACCGGAUAGGAGCUCCUGCUGCAUGGUGGGGGUUGGAAAGUUUCGGCGGUUGGGGAUGGACUGGCGGCUUAUCAGCUUGUUGGUGGGGUAGUGGCUUACCAAGGCUUGGACGGGUAGCCGGCCUGAGAGGGUGACCGGCCACAAUGGGACUGAGAUACGGACCAGACGCCUACGGGAGGCAGCAGUGGGGAGUAUUGCACAAUGGGCGGGAGCCUGAUGCAACAACGCCGCGUGCGGGAUGACGGCCUUCGGGUUGUAAACCGCUGUCGCCUGUGACGAAGCGUGAGUGACGGUAAUGGGUAAAGAAGCACCGGCUAACUACGUG